AUCACUCCUCAGAUCCAGCCAGGCCUCGCUGCAAUCCGAGGAGGAAAGGAUCCGCUGCCAUGGAGGGCUACGACCGCGAGUUCUGGCAGUUCAGCGACCAGCUGCGGCUGCAGAACAACUUCUCCAACCUCUCCAUCGCCGACUCCAUCUGGUCCUCCUCUACCGCCCCCAACAACCCCCUGCCCGACCAGGGCGCCGCAGCCGCCGCCGGCUCGUGGAAGGCCGCCACCAACAACGCCCCCGGCCUCAUCGGCGCCGGCAGCAAGCUCGCCUUCGGCAACGCCACCACCACCAACGCCGACCGCUACAACUACUUCCCCGCCAACGCCGCUCCCGACGCCAAGAGCAACGCCAACAACAACUCCGGCGGCCUCGCCUUCAGCAAGAACCUCAACAGCCCGGCCGCCGCCCUCGGCAACGACUACUACUUCAGCAAGAACGCCGGCGCCAUGAACGCCAACACCAACGCCGGCGGCGACGUCAUCAAGAGCUACUUCAACAAGUCCGUCGGCAGGCCGGCCAACAACAACAAUAACAACUCCUUCAACGUCGGCAAGAAGAGCGCCGCCGCCCACGACAAGAAGAAGAGCGCCGGCAACGGCAACGGCGCCGGCGUCGACAAGAGGUUCAAGAGCCUGCCGGCGUCGGAGGCGCUGCCCAGGGGCGAGGCCAUCGGCGGGUACAUCUUCGUCUGCAA
rnacentral:lncRNA from 1 species